UAUCGACGGCGGUGUUUGGCACCUCGAUGUCGGCUCAUCACAUCCUGGGGCUGAAGUAGGUCCCAAGGGUAUGGCUGUUCGCCAUUUAAAGUGGUACGCGAGCUGGGUUUAGAACGUCGUGAGACAGUUCGGUCCCUAUCUGCCGUGGGCGCUGGAGAACUGAGGGGGGCUGCUCCUAGUACGAGAGGACCGGAGUGGACGCAUCACUGGUGUUCGGGUUGUCAUGCCAAUGGCACUGCCCGGUAGCUAAAUGCGGAAGAGAUAAGUGCUGAAAGCAUCUAAGCACGAAACUUGCCCCGAGAUGAGUUCUCCCUGAGACUUUAGGUCUCCUGAAGGAACGUUGAAGACGACGACGUUGAUAGGCCGGGUGUGUAAGCGCAGCGAUGCGUUGAGCUAACCGGUACUAAUGAACCGUGAGGCUUAACCUUACAACGCCGAAGCUGUU
rnacentral:rRNA from 1 species